UACAGAGGGUGCAAGCGUUGUUCGGAAUUACUGGGCGUAAAGCGUGCGUAGUCGGUUAUUUAAGUCGGGUGUGAAAUCCCCGGGCUCAACCUGGGAAUUGCAUUCGAUACUGGAUAGCUAGAGGACGGUAGAGGCGUGUGGAAUUCCGGGUGUAGUGGUGAAAUGCGUAGAGAUCCGGAGGAACACCAGUGGCGAAGGCGACACGCUGGGCCGUACCUGACACUGAUGCGCGACAGCAUGGGGAGCAAACAGG
rnacentral:rRNA from 1 species